rnacentral:pre_miRNA from 1 species
UCGGAAGUCAUUUCUACUUUCGGUUAUCUAGCUUUAUGAUGGCUUGAUAACACUCAUACAGCUAGAUAACCAAAGACAGAAACGGCCCUCCUGCU